rnacentral:rRNA from 1 species
GAUGAACGCUGGCGGCGUGCCUAACACAUGCAAGUCGAGCGGAAGGACGAUACGCUUGUUUCUCUGAUGUUAGCGGAGCGCGGGUGAGUAACGCGUGGAUCCCCUACUUGUCUUUCUGGGAUCACUUCGGAAAACCGUAGAUAAUACGGGAUGAUAUUUUGAACCGCGUGGGUGAAAGGUGAGAGACGGUCUUGCGGUCUGGUAUCGAUGGAUCCGCGCUUCAUUAGCUAGUUGGUAAGGUAACGGCUUACCAAGGCAACGAUGCAUAGCCGACCUGAGAGGGUGAUCGGCCACACUGGAACUGAGACACGGUCCAGACUCCUAAGGGAGGCAGCAGUAGGGAAUCGUACGCAACAGGCGAAAGCCUGACAGAGCAACCCCGCGUGAGUGACAAAGGCCCUCGGAGCGUAAAACUCUCUUAUUAGGGAAGAACAUAUGUGGAAGGAACCGAGGAGAGAGUGACGGUACCUAAUCAGAAAGCACCGGCUAACUACGUG